CCCAGUCAGUGACCCUAUCCUUACUCUGUCUUCUGCCAUCCUUGGGAACCUGCGUAAACAGAGAAAAUACAGUCUCAGUCUCUUAGAAUUAAGGGCAGUCUGCCUAGCCUGCAAUGCAUUUCUCAACUUACAUGGUUCCAUCAUAUUCAGAUAAUGUCAGACAAUGUGGCGAUCUUCUAAAUAAGCAAACAAGGUGGAGCGAAAUAUCUUCCUCUCUGUAUAGAGGCAGUCAAUUAUGGAACUAUUGCAUUGGGAACCACAUCACACUCUUGGCAACAUACCCAUCAGGUGCGCAGAACUCUCUGGCAGACAGUCUCAGCAGACACUUUCCUACAUACCACAGAUGUGAGAUACACAAUUCUCUUCUGAACAAAAUCGUCACCCAGUGGAGAACAUCAUCUUGGGACCUGUUCACCUCCCGGAUGAACAAGAAGUUCAACCUAGACUGCUCCAGAGCAGCACUUGGUCAGGUCUCCAGGGGCAAUAAUGCUCUGUUAUCCUGGACAGAUUACCUGAGGUACACCUUUCCUCCCCACAGGUUCUGCAAAAGAUUUGUCACAAGAAAGCUCAAGCCAUGCUCAUCACAUCCAACUGGCUCAGAUAUUUCUGUUUGCUGUUUACAAAUGUCCACCUGUUCUCCCAUCAGCUUCGACCCCUUUCUGGAUCUGUUAACUCAGGAGAAUACAAGAUCAGACAUCUCAGCCUGGACCUUCUUCAUCUCAUGGUUUGGUAUUUGGAUGGGCAACAGACCUAGAAUGUUUGUGUUUGGAAGCUGUUCAAGAUAACCUCAAUCAAAGCAGAAAAGACUGUCAGAAAAUGCUAUUUAGUUAAAUGGAGAUGUUUCUCUACCUGGAGACCACAGAACUAAUGAUCCUCCAAAUCCACAGGAAUACCUGCUAUUUUAGACUACCUACUCACCCUCAAGACAUUAGGACUUUCCAUUAGCUCGCUGCAAGUCCACCUAGCAGCAGUCAAUGCCUUCCAUCCUCUCGUGGAAGGCUGUUCUGUUUUUACUUAUCAACAAUAAGCUCUCAUUAGGACCUUCCCACUGGUGAUGAAACCAGUGCUGCUAUGGGACAUCAAUCUUGACUUCUCAGUACUUACCAGACCAUCCUUUGAACCACUGAUCAUGUGUUCCAUGUCCUGCCUGUCCAUGAAGGCCACUUUCCUAGUCACCAUCACAUCUGCUAGAAGAGUGAAUGAGCUGGGAGCACUCAUAGCUGACUUGCCCUAUUCAACAUUUCAUAAUGAAAGUUUCUCUUUGCAUCUACCCAAAUUUCUUCCCUAAGGUAAUUUCCAAAUUUCACAUAAAUCAACUUAUCUUAAAUAAUAAAUCAAUAAAUCAGUAUUCUUUCCAAAAUCUCAUGCAAUCAAUGAAAAGAUUCUCUCUCUCUCUCGACAUAGAAUGCUAAAGUCCUUCUGAUCUGCAACGAACUAACCAAUUAUGAAAAGGCCUACGCUAUUUGUCACUCUAGUGGAACAAUCAGGGACAAGCAUCUGCAUAGAGAGACUAAGUGGGUCUCUAGCUAUAUCAUUCUUUAUCAGCUGGCGUAUAAUGGGGUGCGAGCCCAUUCCAUUAUAGCAUAGGUAACCUCAAUAUUAUUUCUUUGAAAAGUAUCUGUGCUGGAAAUUUGUAAGGUGGAAACCUGAAGCAGUUCUUCGAGUAGAUGCAGCCAUGUAUUCCACUUAGGUGAGUGCACUGCCCAGAGCACCGGAGCCAGAGAAUUUUGCCUAGUGGUACCCAUAGGAGGCAGCACUCAUGCUCAUAGUGCCUCCCCUGGCUAUAUGAGGCAGUGCUGCCUCAAACCCCCACAGCUGCUGCUCUACCACCUGUGGCUGGAGUUGGAGCUCUGUGUGGUUCUUAACCUCCCAAUCUCUCUCUUUAUGGUUUUACCCUGUUGUAUAUAGUUAGUACCCUUAGUGUUAAUUUAGUUAGUACUUCCCUAGUGUUACCCCUAACAACAAUCCCCACAGGGGGUGCUUGCUGUGCUUGGGUGAGGCUCACAUCAAAGAAUGGUGUUUUAUUUGCAUAUUGUUCACAAAAUGGACUUAGGUGCCAUAGGGCCUUUGCCUAAAGCAGCACCUGCUCAAAGGGUCCAUGCAGCCUGCUUUGACACCGAGGUCAGGUUCUGAGAGUGCUGCCAGUUUGCAUUCUGGAGCUGGUGACUAUCUGAAGAGAUGGAGGAGCUGCUUCCCAUCAAGUGCACUGAGGCAGAGAUCGCAUAAGACCAAUCAACCCUCCAGGUUUCAUGCACCAUCUUGCACCACCAAUGUUACUGUGGUAGAACUCAUCACCCUCCACUUCGGCAUUGUCAGAUAUAUCAGUACUACUGCUGACUUCAGGGCCGAUGCCACUCUGAGCACCAGAAACAACGGAGGCGUACUUGGUGUCGGCGGUACAAUUUCUACCAUCAGUGUCGGUCCCUCCCUGGUUUUGGGAGACAGAUUAAUCAGACGAGUAGCUCACACCCUCAGGGCUGGCUCUAUUUUUAUCCCUGGAAACCCGAGAUGACUUGGUGUCAAGGUUGGGAUUUUCCUCCUUCCAUUCUCCAUCACAUAGCCCACAUUGGGAAUCAUUCAUGGAGCAUCGUGGGUACUAGAUUGGCACUCGUGGCAGUUGGGAUAGGACCCCAUGCCCUGCACCUACUGGCCACUAAUGCCCUCUCAUGCCCAGUGGCCUCCAUAGAAUUCGCGGGGGGCUCCUCAGUCAUGGUGGUCGCACUCCUCAUCUCUCUCCAAGGAGAGAUCACUAGGCAUGUCUGUGGUGAAGGACAUUGACUUCCUACAGGUUCAGGCACCAGUGAGCCUUCCCAUUGUGGAUCCUCCAGAGUUGUCCCAUCCAGGACUACCUGUCCAAGAACAGGAUCCAGUCCUGGUGCGGUUAACUGUUUCUUCAUCAUCCUCAGAUGAUUCAACGAGUCCUCCUUUCCUUCGGUGCCUGAGGACUUCAGGGUCUACCAUGACAUUUUGCAGUAUGUGGCUUCUUUCCUGGGCAUUCUCCCUGCAGGAGAAUGUCCAUAAAUUGUUGGAUAUCCUGCAGCCAUCUGCUCCUGGGAGAAUGACCCUCCCUAUUAAUGAUGCGGUCCUGGAGCCUGUGAAGUUUCUUUUUGGAGCAUGCCGGCUUUGGUGCCCCCUGCUGCAAAGCAUUUGUGGAAAUGCUACUUCCAUUCAUACCUGAAACAUUACACCUUAGCCCAGGCCUAUUCUACAAAUGCAGCUGUUGGGACAGCGGUAUUAUAGACAUCUAUAGUAACUGUAUCCUGAUACCUCCUGUCCUGUUUGAAUACUGCUUACCCAUCAUCCACAUGUCAAAUACACAUAGGGACCAGCACUGAAAGAAGUGAGUUACUUAAGUAACCACAGUAGCCUGCGGUUCUUCGAGAAGUAUGGUCUCUCUCUGUAUUCCACUCCCCUUCCUCCUUCCUUUCUGCUUUGGAUCCUAUCUAAUUUGUGGUAGAAGAAAGAACUGGAGAGACAUUGGUCCACACCUGUGAAGGCUGAUUCCCCACUCUGGCACUCCGAGUGCAGAAGGUGGGGUCCCACAAGGAUUUUAAAAAUUAAUACUUGCCACUCCAGGCUUGUAUUAAACCCUCAAGGUUACAGCUUUUCUCUGAUCUUAGCUUGGUAAAUGCUGCCGCCCCCCAAGUGAAAAACUGUCUCUUGCAAAUCCUGGAAAAACUCUCUUGGGAAGUUUUCCCUGAGGCCCCUCAGCUCUUCCACCCUUCCCUUGGAGAAGCUGAGAAACAAACAAAAGGGAAACCUAUUUGUUGCCACCAGCUAAUGGAAAAAUACGCACAGACCUUUUAAGACACAACCAAUCACGUGCUUAAAAAAAGUAAAUUUUAUUAAAAGCAAAAAGAGAAAAUAUAUCUGGAACUUAGGCUUUUGCUAGAUUUUAAAAGAGCAAUUCCAAAAAUUAAGAACCCAAAAUAGCUUUCUUGGGGGUUCAGCUUAAAGGUUACAAGCAAACAAAAGCAUCUAGGAUUAGCAUAGAGAAGUCUACAAGCCUUACAGAAAAUAGAUGCAAUUAGGGUUAUUUCUUUUAUCUAAACAUUCCCUGUCCCAGUGAAUUCUUCUAGGUAUGGACGAUGAAUUUUCAGACCUGGUUCAAAUUUUACGCAGCAUUCCAGAUGCCCGUCUCCAGCCCAGAGAGAACAACAGAGAGUCAAAGGGAAAACUUUUCCCCUUUUAAAAAGUUCUAGCCUUCCCAUUGACUUUUUUGGUCAGGUGUCCCUCCCUUUUCUUUACCUGGGGACUUUUUAACCCUUUAUAGGUAAAGCAAGCAGCCUCCAAGAGGGACUUUUAUAGCUAACUAUCUGGCUGGGUGCCCAAAAAAAAGAGCUCUUCCCCUUCAUUUAUCACAACAUCUCUCCUUAAACCCUCAGUACGGAGCAUGAAGGGGAGUAAUUGUGCAGGCAAUGACUAAUGGAUGCUACUUGCUAGAAAUCACAUCUCAAAGAACCUCCGUGUACAGAUAAGGAACUUAUGUUUUAUUACAGAAAGCAUUAGGGCAGUAAACUCUGGUUGUAUUUUUUUUCUCCUAAAAUCUGGCAGUGAUUUAGUUUUAUGCCAUUGAAAGUAAAACUACAAAUGAAAAGAUAUGUGUAUAUCACUGCAGUGGGUUGGUUAACAAAGGAAUAAUUUAUCUCGUAUUGAGAACUUGAAGACACAAGCUUCCACUUAUACCUCUUGAAAUUCAUUUAGUACACACUGUGGCUAAUUCUUAGCUAAAAUAGUAUAAUCAAA